rfam:Triticum aestivum genome assembly, contig: Triticum_aestivum_CS42_TGACv1_scaffold_641653_T_3B-0.125648_1BL-0.070338
GAAGUACUCCCUCCGUCCGAGAAUACCUGCCAUCAAAACGGAUAAAAAGAGAUGUAUCUCGAAUUAAAAUACAUUUAGAUACAUUCCUUUUUAUUCAUUUUGAUGACAAGUAUUUCCGGACGGAGGGAGUAGCAA